rnacentral:rRNA from 1 species
GACGAACGCUGGCGGCGUGCUUAACACAUGCAAGUCGAACGGAAAGGCCCUGCUUUUGCUGGGUGCUCGAUAGGCGAACGGGUGAGUAACACGUGGGUAACCUUCCCUUGACUUUCGGGUAACUUCAGGAAACUGGGGCUAAUACCGGAUAGGAGCUCCUGAUGCUUGUUGUUGCUUGGUAAUUUUCGGCGGUUGGGGAUGGAAUCGCGGCUUAUCAGCCUGUUGGUGAGGUAGCUGAUUACCAAGGUUAUGACGGGUAGCCGGACUGAGAGGGUGACCGGCCCCAGAGGGACUGGGGAGGGGGCAGUACGGCAACGGGAGGCAGGGGUGGAGAAUAUUGCGAGAUGGGCGGAAGGCGGAAGCAGCGACGCCGGGUGCGGGAGGACGGCUGUAGGGGUGGAAACCGCUUUCGCCUGGGACGAAGAGUGAGUGACGGUAAUGGGUAAGGAAGCACCGGCUAACUACGUG